rnacentral:rRNA from 1 species
UGCAAGUCGAGCGAACAGAUAGGAGCUUGCUCCUUUGACGUUAGCGGCGGACGGGUGAGUAACACGUGGAUAACCUACCUAUAAGACUGGGAUAACUUCGGGAAACCGGAGCUAAUACCGGAUAACAUAUUGAACCGCAUGGUUCAAUAGUGAAAGGCGGCUUUGCUGUCACUUAUAGAUGGAUCCGCGCCGUAUUAGCUAGUUGGUAAGGUAACGGCUUACCAAGGCAACGAUACGUAGCCGACCUGAGAGGGUGAUCGGCCACACUGGAACUGAGACACGGUCCAGACUCCUACGGGAGGCAGCAGUAGGGAAUCUUCCGCAAUGGGCGAAAGCCUGACGGAGCAACGCCGCGUGAGUGAUGAAGGUCUUCGGAUCGUAAAACUCUGUUAUCAGGGAAGAACAAAUGUGUAAGUAACUGUGCACAUCUUGACGGUACCUGAUCAGAAAGCCACGGCUAACUACGUGCCAGCAGCCGCGGUAAUACGUAGGUGGCAAGCGUUAUCCGGAAUUAUUGGGCGUAAAGCGCGCGUAGGCGGUUUUUUAAGUCUGAUGUGAAAGCCCACGGCUCAACCGUGGAGGGUCAUUGGAAACUGGAAAACUUGAGUGCAGAAGAGGAAAGUGGAAUUCCAUGUGUAGCGGUGAAAUGCGCAGAGAUAUGGAGGAACACCAGUGGCGAAGGCGACUUUCUGGUCUGUAACUGACGCUGAUGUGCGAAAGCGUGGGGAUCAAACAGGAUUAGAUACCCUGGUAGUCCACGCCGUAACGAUGAGUGCUAAGUGUUA